GCAAGUCGAACGCAGUAGCAAUACUGAGUGGCAGACGGGUGAGUAACAUGUGGGAAUCUGCCUUGUGGUUCAGGACAACAUUGGGAAACCGAUGCUAAUACUGGAUAAGCCCUUACGGGGAAAGUUUUAAUGCCAUAAGAUGAGCCCGCAUUUGAUUAGUUAGUUGGUGAGGUAAUGGCUCACCAAGACAAUGAUCAAUAGCUGAUCUGAGAGGAUGAUCAGCCACACUGGGACUGAGACACGGCCCAGACUCCUACGGGAGGCAGCAGUGGGGAAUCUUGCACAAUGGAGGAAACUCUGAUGCAGCGAUGCCGCGUGAGUGAAGAAGGCCUUUGGGUUGUAAAGCUCUUUUGUAGGGGAAGAUAAUGACUGUACCCUAAGAAUAAGGUCCGGCUAACUUCGUGCCAGCAGCCGCGGUAAUACGAAGGGACCUAGCGUAGUUCGGAAUUACUGGGCGUAAAGCGCGCGUAGGCCGUUGAGUUAGUUAAUUGUGAAAUCCCAAAGCUUAACUUUGGAACUGCAAUUAAAACUGCUCGACUAGAGUUUGAUAGAGGAAAGCGGAAUACAUAGUGUAGAGGUGAAAUUCGUAGAUAUUAUGUAGAACACCAGUUGCGAAGGCGGCUUUCUGGAUCAACACUGACGCUGAGGCGCGAAAGUAUGGGUAGCAAAGAGGAUUAGAUACCCUCGUAGUCCAUACCAUAAACGAUGAUUGCUAGAUGUUGGAAAUUUAUUUUCAGUAUCGCAGCUAACGCAUUAAGCAAUCCGCCUGGGGAGUACGACCGCAAGGUUAAAACUCAAAUGAAUUGACGGGGACCCGCACAAGCGGUGGAGCAUGUGGUUUAAUUCGAAGAUACGCGCAGAACCUUACCAACCCUUGACAUGUCUGUCGCGAGUUUAGGAAACUAGACUUUUCGGUUCGGCCGGACAGAACACAGGUGCUGCAUGGCUGUCGUCAGCUCGUGUCGUGAGAUGUUGGGUUAAGUCCCCGCACGAGCGCAACCCCUACUUU
rnacentral:rRNA from 1 species